GAUGAACGCUGGCGGCGUGCCUAAUACAUGCAAGUCGAGCGAACAGACGAGGAGCUUGCUCCUCUGACGUUAGCGGCGGACGGGUGAGUAACACGUGGAUAACCUACCUAUAAGACUGGGAUAACUUCGGGAAACCGGAGCUAAUACCGGAUAAUAUAUUGAACCGCAUGGUUCAAUAGUGAAAGACGGUUUUGCUGUUACUUAUAGAUGGAUCCGCGCCGCAUUAGCUAGUUGGUAAGGUAACGGCUUACCAAGGCAACGAUGCGUAGCCGACCUGAGAGGGUGAUCGGCCACACUGGAACUGAGACACGGUCCAGACUCCUACGGGAGGCAGCAGUAGGGAAUCUUCCGCAACGGGCGAAAGCUUGACGGAGCAACGCCGCGUGAGUGAUGAAGGUCUUCGGAUCGUAAAACUCUGUUAUUAGGGAAGAACAAAUGUGUAAGUAACUAUGCACGUCUUGACGGUACCUAAUCAGAAAGCCACGGCUAACUACGUG
rnacentral:rRNA from 1 species